GUGGGGAAUCUUGCGCAAUGGGCGAAAGCCUGACGCAGCAACGCCGCGUGCGGGAUGAAGGCCUUCGGGUUGUAAACCGCUUUCAGCAGGGACGAAAAUGACGGUACCUGCAGAAGAAGCUCCGGCUAACUACGUGCCAGCAGCCGCGGUAAUACGUAGGGAGCAAGCGUUGUCCGGAUUUAUUGGGCGUAAAGAGCUCGUAGGCGGUUUCGUAAGUCGAGUGUGAAAAAUCUGGGCUUAACCCAGUGGAGCACUCGAUACUGCGAUGACUUGAGUCUGGUAGAGGAGUGUGGAAUUCCUGGUGUAGCGGUGAAAUGCGCAGAUAUCAGGAGGAACACCAACGGCGAAGGCAGCACUCUGGGCCAGUACUGACGCUGAGGAGCGAAAGCGUGGGGAGCAAACAGGAUUAGAUACCCCUGUAGUCC
rnacentral:rRNA from 1 species